rnacentral:rRNA from 1 species
GAUGAACGCUAGCGAUAGGCUUAACACAUGCAAGUCGAGGGGCAGCAUAAAUGUAGCAAUACAUUGGUGGCGACCGGCGCGCGGGUGAGUAACGCGUAUGCAACAUACCCAUAACCGGGCGAUAACACGGCGAAAGUCGUGCUAAUACAGCAGAAAACAAGGGGCCCGGAUGGGAAUAGUUGUUAAAGAUUUAGUGGUUAUGGAUGGGCAUGCGUUAAAUUAGGUCGUUGGUAAGGUAAUGGCUUACCAAGACAUCGAGGGAUAGGGGUUCCGAGAGGAAGGUCCCCCACACUGGUACUGAGACACCGACCAGAAUCCUACGGGAGGCAGCAGUGAGGAAUAUUGGUCAAUGGUCGAGAGCCUGAACCAGCCAAAUCGCGUGAAGGAUGACGGUAUUAUGUAUUGUAAACUUCUUUUAUUAGGGAAUAAAGUGCAGGACGUGUCCUGUUUUGUAUGUACCUAACGAAUAAGCAUCGGCUAACUCCGUGCCAGCCGCCGCCGUAA